rnacentral:rRNA from 1 species
CAGGCGGUUUUUCAAGUCAGUGGUGAAAGCCCGGAGCUCAACUCCGGAACUGCCAUUGAAACUGUAAAACUUGAGGAUGAGAGAGGUGAGUGGAAUUCCCAGUGUAGAGGUGAAAUUCGUAGAUAUUGGGAAGAACACCGGUGGCGAAGGCGGCUCACUGGCUCAUAUCUGACGCUCAGGCGCGACAGCGUGGGGAUCAAACA